GGGGUGGCCGAGUCUGGUCGAAGGCGCAGGACUUAAGAUCCUGUGGGCGUAGGCCCUUCGCCGGUUCGAAUCCGGCCCCC
rnacentral:tRNA from 1 species